CCUACGGGUGGCAGCAGUGGGGAAUAUUGCACAAUGGGGGGAACCCUGAUGCAGCGACGCCGCGUGAGUGAAGAAGUAUCUCGGUACGUAAAGCUCUAUCAGCAGGGAAGAAAAUGACGGUACCUGACUAAGAAGCCCCGGCUAACUACGUGCCAGCAGCCGCGGUAAUACGUAGGGGGCAAGCGUUAUCCGGAUUUACUGGGUGUAAAGGGAGCGUAGACGGCACGGCAAGUCCGGAGUGAACGGCCAAGGCUUAACCAUGGGACUGCUCUGGAAACUGUGGAGCUUGAGUGCGGGAGGGGCAGGCGGAAUUCGUAGUGUAGCGGUGAAAUGCGUAGAUAUUAGGAGGAACACCGGCGGCGAAGGCGGCCUGCUGGAGCGUAACUGACGUUGAGGCUCGAAGGCGUGGGGAGCAAACAGGAUUAGAUACCCUAGUAGUC
rnacentral:rRNA from 1 species